GGGGUAUUACAGCGUUUUAUCACCCGUCACCCGGAUACUCCCCCCCUUUGACUCCGACGGUGAGGUCUCUCAAAGUUUGGGAGAAAAAGAGAGAGAGAAAGAGAGAGUAGCAGUCAAUUAGGGUUUAUUCCAAACGAUAAAUCGGAGGUUCGUGCAAGUCCCAGAGGGAUGCAACGAAAUGUCUCAAAUCGAUCUACCGUUUGAAGUCGGUGACACCAUCGAAGCAAGAUCUUUCGAAUUGGGGUUUCGUGGAGCAUGGUUCCGAUGCAAGAUUACAAAGAUAUUCAACAAAGGGAGAGCAUUAUUCUACGAUUUGGAGUAUCUUGAUUUCACAGAAGAAGGAAUACACACAACAAAGUAUAUCAAAAACGCCAAGGCGAGAGCGAGAAUAUCCUAAUGGUUCGACCCAUACGCCCCCGUCAGUCUCAUGAAAAUGAGGAAGGUUGUGGUGGAGAAGAAGAAGAAGAAGAAGAAGAAGAAGAAGUUGUUGUUGUUCGUGGUCUUUGGAAGGUGGGUGACUUGGUGGACUGGUGGAAAGACGAUUGCUAUUGGUCUGGAACGGUUCUAGAAGUGAAUGAAGAAGAUGAAACGGCUAAGU